CAGACCAAGAAAAUUGAAAUUUUACACCCAAAUCUUAUCUUAAUUCAACAUCGAGGUCGCAAACUUUUUCAUCGAUAUGAACUCUCCGAAAAAAUUACGCUGUUAUCCCUAAGGUAAGUUAAUCUUAUAAUCAAAAAUUGGGGGAUCAAAAAAACAUAAAUUAAUGAACAAAAAUAUUAAAAGUUAAAUAAAUUUCAAUGUCACCCCAACAAAACUUUAUAUUCUAAAAAAUUAUUUAAUUAACAAAAAAUAAAAAUUAAUAAAUAAAGUUAACUUCUAUAGGGUCUUCUCGUCCUAUAAAAAAAUUCUAGCUUUUUAACUAAAAAAUUAAAUUCAAAACAAUUGAAAAAAGAAAGUUUAUUUUUCAUCAAACCAUUCAUACUAGCCUUCAAUUAAAAGACAAAUGAUUAUGCUACCUUCGUACAGNUAAAA
rnacentral:rRNA from 1 species